UACGUAGGGUCCAAGCGUUAUCCGGAAUCACUGGGCGUAAAGCGUGCGUAGGCGGGUGCUUAAGUGCAAUGCGAAAUCUUGUGGCUCAACCAUAUAGACUGUAUUGCAUACUGGGUACCUGGAGGAAUGCAGAGGCAAGUGGAAUUACUGGUGUAGCAGUGAAAUGCGUAGAUAUCAGUAGGAACACCAAUGGCGAAGGCAGCUUGCUGGGCAUUUUCUGACGCUAAGGCACGAAAGCGUGGGGAGCGAACAGG
rnacentral:rRNA from 1 species